rnacentral:sRNA from 1 species
CAAUAACAGAAGCUCAGCGUGUAUCAAUUGGCGACGAGAUUGCAAAUGAAACAUGGCUGAGCACAAUUUGAAACCAUUCUUAUGUGAAGGCUUAGAGAAAUUGUUGGAAAGUAUGUAUGUGUGCAAAAGUCACAUAGCUUACAUAUACUCCUGCAUAGCAGAGAGUAGGAUAGAGAGAAGAUGAAUUGCUUAUUGUAGCUUAUCUUCAUUCUGUCUUUUGUAGCUUUGUGGUAUGUGGCUUUGUGUGUGUACUCAUGAUCUACGCGUCGUCAGUCGAUUUAUGAAAGCGAGCGUGUGCAGUUCUUACAAUAAAGUGACACAGAAAAUAAAACAUCAAAGUGCCUAUUUAUUUCAUGCUGGUUAUGGGCCCAGACACAAAAUAGCAUUGAAAUAAUUAAGUCUUUGAUUGUUAAUAACAAGCUACAAUAAAAAGUGAAGAAUAAUACAUGUGUAUAUAUAUGUACAUACAUAUAUGCAUUGAAUUGCUAAUAUAUGCAUAUACAUAUUUAAUAUAAUUACAUACAUAUAGUUGUAUGGCAGUUUAAUAUGUGCGCGUCUUAAACGUUUAUAAUAAUUUCACAAUUUCGUCGCAUACACAUAAGCGUUUUUUUUUUUUUUUCGCGCGAAAAACCGCGACGCUGUAGCUGGUGUCGGUACCAAAUUUUUUUUUCUCUUCUUUCUCUCUUCUUAUUCAUGCUGUCACCGCAUUUCUAAGAAGACAAACGAAUACAAGUUGUGUGUAUUGAGUAAAAAGGAAGAAUGGAUAAAGGAAAGAGAAAUAUUAAACCUUUUGAUGGGGAAAAAUAUUCAAUUUGGAAGUAUAGAGUGA